CUGUGCAAUUAUCUCAAUCAUCUUUGGGAACUGGACUGAAAUGAAGAGAAUACUCUUUGCUGAUCACUU
ensembl:snoRNA